GAUGAAGAACGUAGCGAAAUGCGAUAAGUAAUGUGAAUUGCAGAAUUCAGUGAAUCAUCGAAUCUUUGAACGCACGUUGCGCCCCUUGGUAUUCCGAGGGGCAUGCCUAUUCGAGCGUCAUUAUCACCCCUCAAGCCUAGCUUGGUGUUGAGGCCUGCUGUCAAGGCAGCCUCUAAAAUCAGUGGCAGUGCUGUCAGGCUCUAAGCGUAGUAAAUCUAAUCGCUAUAGACACCUGGUGGACACUCGCCAGAACCCCCCCAUUUUUUAAUGAUUGACCUCGGAUUAGGUAGGGAUACCCGCUGAACUUAAGCAUAUCAAUAAGCGGAGGA
rnacentral:misc_RNA from 1 species